GAUUCAGUCCACACUGGGUAACAAUUGGGCUUUUAUUAUCAAUUAUAAAGGCAAGAGAAAAUAUUGAAUGAAUACAAUGCGUUCUUCAUGCCAAUAGUCUUCUUCCUUAGUGAUAAUAUAUGCCAUUUUAGCACCCAUUUUGGAUGAUGCCACAUCGGUGUUCCUGGCUUUCUGCUUCUUCUUCUUUUGCGACAUAUCAGUGCCCCACUGCUCUUGUUUUCUACUUCUUCUUCUUCUUCAGUUUGUUGCAAGUGGGUUUUGAAAGUUGAGAUUUUGAUUUGUAUUAUGGUCUAGGUUCUGCCCUUCGUGCGUCCAUGGCUCUAUGCGACUGCAAGUCCUUCCAUUUAGGUUUGCGAUUCCAAGGGAAACCAUGGUGAUUGGUGUAUGUGAAAUUGCAAAAUUGUGAUGGUGAUCGAUUUUCAUUUUCAUAAUAAUCCGUCAUCAUCACCUUGCUUGCUGCACUCGGCAUUGUUGUUGACCUACUGGUGUUCCUUGGAAUGCCGCCAUUCGAAGAUCAUGCCCUAUAAUAUUUAAAUUUGCCACCCAUUUGUAAAUCUUUCCGUGGCUCUAUAUGUCGCGAGUUCAGAUUUUUCCACACGGCUCGUUGAUAAGAAGGAAGUCUGCAAGUCCUGCUAAGGGGCAUUUGGACAAGUGCUCUCACACAUCAUGUCUUUUUCCCUUUUUUGGUAUUUCGACUCUGCCGCUUUUGUGUUGCUCCCUUCUGUAUCUUAAAUUUAUAAUUUUUUUUUCUUGGUAGAUUUUUUUUAUUUAAUAAAAGUUUGAAAUUUUACGUUA